rnacentral:tRNA from 1 species
GCCCGCGUAGCUCAGUUGGAUAGAGCAUUGCUUUCCUAAAGCAGAGGUCGCAGGUUCGAGUCCUGCCGCGGGUG